rnacentral:rRNA from 1 species
UACAGAGGAUGCAAGCGUUAUCCGGAAUGAUUGGGCGUAAAGCGUCUGUAGGUGGCUUUUAAGUCCGCCGUCAAAUCCCAGGGCUCAACUCUGGACAGGCGGUGGAAACUACCAAGCUGGAGUACGGUAGGGCAGAGGGAAUUUCCGGUGGAGCGGUGAAAUGCGUAGAGAUCGGAAAGAACACCAACGGCGAAAGCACUCUGCUGGCCGACACUGACACUGAGAGACGAAAGCUAGGGAGCGAAUGGG